AUACGUAGGUGGCGAGCGUUGUCCGGAAUUACUGGGUGUAAAGGGCGUGUAGGCGGGGACAUAAGUCAGAUGUGAAAUUCCAAGGCUUAACUUUGGGACUGCAUCUGAAACUAUGUUUCUUGAGUGCUGGAGAGGAAAGCGGAAUUUCCAGUGUAGCGGUGAAAUGCGUAGAGAUUGGGAGGAACACCAGUGGCGAAGGCGGCUUUCUGGACAGUAACUGACGCUGAGGCGCGAAAGCGUGGGGAGCAAACAGGAUUAGAUACCCUGGUAGUCCACGCUGUAAACGAUGGAUACUAGGUGUAGGAGGUAUCGACCCUUUCUGUGCCGGAGUUAACACAAUAAGUAUCCCACCUGGGGAGUACGGCCGCAAGGUUGAA
rnacentral:rRNA from 1 species